CUAACCCAUGCAAUGUGGGGCCUGGGCUAUGCGAUGAAGGGAUUAAUUCGCCAUAAUCUAACAGUUCGAGCUUUUAGAGCAUAUGGUUAAUUGUCCUGCAUCAGACACUGAAAAUUCUGAAUUGUUGACUUUCUAAUUCCCAAUGCACUGUAAAAUGUAUGGCCUGCUUCAUGAAUCCGUGUAACAUCCAGUGUAAAAUUCUACAGUCCAUAUCCCUUGUUGUUGUCUGUAGUUCCACAUGGUCUUGAAGGUGGAUAGAACUGUUGUAUUUGCCCAACUGUUGCUAUAUGUUUUGAGUGAUUUCAACUUCCGCUGUUUUUUUUUUUUUUUUCUUGGAUGAAAAGUUUUUAUUUUUAUUUUUAUUUUUUUACGAUUUUCCAUUGCUAAUGCAUUUAAAAGAUAAUUCCAAAGAACUAUGGGUCCAUUUAUGCAUUGAAGGAUGUUAUUAUUCAAUAACACACUUACCUUGAUUAUACAUACUGUAUAAUGAAGUAAAUUCCAAAGAACUAUGGGUCCAUUUAUGCAAAUUGAAAACCUGUACAUGCCAUAUAAAUUCUGUUUGAGCACUGUUAACUAGCUCCUUUUUUGUUACUGGAUUGCUUUCUAUGGUUGGCUGAUUUAUUUGGCAAACAGAACAUUUAAACACCAUAAUUUCAUCAAGGAAUGCAAAUGGAACUCGAACAAAUGAGAUGGAGAAGGGGCCUAGCAGCACAUGUGCUAUCCUCGUACAGUUGUAAGAAAAUGAGCAAAGGGCAGCUGGUGGUUGAACUAAAAAUCAGGCCGGCCUGCUUAUCAGGUUGCAACUUAACAAAUUUUGAAUGUCUACAAAUCUAUGGUUGUCUCCAUUUACAAAGGGGAUGCAAGAAGGAGAAAGGUAAUGAUGGGCACAAGAUUGCACACAUCUCAGACAUUCAGAUUGGAUGGCCGCCUGAUUUUAAGCACCACUUCUUGCUCAACCUUAUCAAUAGGAUGAGUUUCGAUUUGAGUUUGUGAGUUUUAGAACUAUGCCAUGCAUAGUUGUGUUUGUUUUAUCAUUUUUAUUCAAUUUUGUUUCAAAACAAUGGAUCCUUGAAAAUUUUCUUGGAGCAAAAUCGUUUUUAAAGUAUGAUAAAUGUUAGCUAAGCUUGAAAACUAGUUAUAGCAUUCGACUGAGACACUAAUUCCAUUCUCCAGGCUAAAGAUGAUCAUAGUAGUUACACCAGCUUUUUUUUUUGCCUUCAUCACAUCUACUAAGUCGUUCACAAGGACUUUUUGUUAUUUUGGCAAGAAUAACCAUUAACCAUGUUCACUGCACAAAAAUUGGUCUAAGUGGAACAGUAGCCUGUGAUCUAACUGCUCAUCUGGUGGGGCACUCACAAUGAGCUGAGGUAGAAAAAAUCCCAGUGAACAGACAAUCUUAACUGUCUGAAUCAUAGACCAUGGAAAAAAAAAAGAAAAAAAAGAAGGAAACAAUCAGCAUCAAUUAGAAAAAAGCAAAAGAAGACGGGUAGGAAUAGGAUCAUCCAAUCCAUGUGACUUUUGGAAAGUGGUCGAGCCAUAGUGCGACAUACAUCAACAAGUGGUCCAGCUCACCAGACGCAUGACUGACAAUCUAAUUUUGCCAAGCGUGCUAAAAAAAAUGUGAACUGAGCAAGGAUCAAAAUCCACUUAAUGCCCAUCUUAACUUAAUCUAUUUUAUUGGGUACUAAUUCUCAACUGCAAAGUACAACUGCAGUUAUCAAUAUCCAAAAGAAAAUUGUAAAGGAAUGCCAAAAAUCAUAAAUAUAAAAUCUCAAUGAUAAAAGCAACAUCUCAGAGAACAGAUGAAAUGAGGAGAAAGUGAGUUUUUAGGUUGUAGAAGAGUGUCCUAUUUCAUGGGAUUGCUAUUUACUAGUUUUACUUCUUUUCCAUUACUCUAACCACUAUGUUAUAUGCAGGUACCUAUGGUCUCCUAUAUAUUUGUUGUAUAUGAUUACUUGGAACUGAAUGUGCAAGCCUUCAUUACUAGCUGUAGUUGCUACAUCCAUCUAAUUGAUGGAUGAAUGGAAUGGUUUAUUUGAAUGUAAAACUGUCAUGAUAUGUUCGUGUGAUGUGUGGACAGUCUCUGUAGUCAUUUCACACCCGUUUAUUGUACUUAAUACUUUCUGCAAAAUGCACUUAUCCAUAGUGCUUUCAACUUGAUUUUGAUAUAUUCUUUGGUGACGUCAAGAUCUUAUAUAUAUGGCUUUUAUCAUCUAUGCAAAACACACUUAUACAUAGUGCUUUCAAAUUGAUUUUGAAACCCAGCAUUGUUUCAAGAAGAACCUUCAUUCUGUUUCAUGAACAGUGCAUGGAAAACUACAAGUGAUGAGCUUUUUUGUUGUAUUAGAAAGAAAAAUUAUUAGGAGAUGUCUGAGCGAGGCACAUGGCAUAAUUAUAAGUCCUAUCUCUCCAUAUGUCACAUUAGUUAUAUAUGAAAAGAUCAUCAACUAUCUACCCUGUUUCAAUCUAGAAAAGAAAAAGCAGUAUUUGGUCUAGCUGGAUGUAUCUGACUAAUAAAUUGGAAUUUUUUAUUUAGUAAAUGUUUUCUUGAUGUACAUGCACUGUAGUUCCAUUGAAUUCUCAACCCUAUAAUCAUUCCGGCGAUUAUAAUGCAAGAAAUGGUUUGUUUCUGUUUAAAGUGGCUAGGAGAUGUAAAAAUGUGAAUUUUCUUGUUCUGGAAAUAAAUAAGAAGGUAAAUAUUUCUUUUUUCUUUUUAAUUGGUGAAAGCAACUUUCAUGCUUUAACAAAUUUCGAUCUGGUGAAGCUUGUGAAAGGAUGUCUAGAUUUUGUUCAACAACUAGGCUUGAAGAAUUUGACAUAUCUUCAUCCUUCAACCUCAUUAUCGUUGUCUUGAAGACUAUAAUUUUGUUUGUGCCUCUGCCUGCAAGUUUUACAAGGCCAUUAUGUUGAUUGGGAAGGAGGGCAGUAAGGGCUAUUGGAAAGGCAAUCUAGCACAGGAAAGGAUGGGGAGAGCUCUGUUGUUGGGUGACUGGAAGUAGGGGCUUGAGCUGGUGACCCACCAUCAAGUCCAAUUUCAAUCUUUUUCUUUUCUUUUCUUUCACUAUAUGAUACUUUCUAUUGUUGCUUGAAUAUACAUUGCAGCCAUUUUAUUUUUAUUUUUUUCCGGAAAUUGUUCUCCCUGGUUCUUAGUAUACCCUUGUUUGUACAAUAGAGGCAUUAUAUUCCUACCAUUUACAUUUGGAAUUUGAAUGUGAAAAUUGUUAUUUAUUUA